rnacentral:rRNA from 1 species
AUUAAACCUCGUACCUUUUGCAUCAUGAUUUAGCCAGCAUAACUCAAGCGAAGCGACCUUUAGUUUGAGACCCCGAAACUGAGUGAGCUACUCCAAGCCAGCCUAUCUAAUUAAGGGCACACCCGUCUCUGUGGCAAAAGAGUGGGAAGAGCUUCGAGUAGGGGCGAUAAACCUACCGAACUCAGUUAUAGCUGGUUGCCUGAGAAAUGAAUAUUAGUUCAGCCUCUUACCUUCUUCCAAAGAAAAGAGAGUUAGUCAAAGGGGGGACAGCCCCUUUGAAACAGACACAACUUUACCAGGAGGGUAAGGAUCAAACUCAACCAAGGAGUCACCCCUAAGUUGGCCUAAAAGCAGCCAUCUUUAAAGAAAGCGUUAAAGCUCAGACUACUUAUUCUGAUAACCUACUCCAAACCCCCUAACCCUACCAGGCCAUUCUAUUAACAUAGAAGCGACCAUGCUAGAAUGAGUAAUCAGGGAAGCCUCCCUCAAGUCGCAUGUGUAACUCGGAACGGACCCCCCACCGAAUAUUAACGGCCCCAAGCACAGAGGGCAAUAAAACUACCGCUAGAAAACCUUUUACCGUUAAACCAACACAGGAGCGCACCAAAUGAAAGACUAAAAGAAAGGGAAGGAACCCGGCAAACAAGCCUCGCCUGUUUACCAAAAACAUCGCCUCUUGCAAGAAUAAGAGGUCCUGCCUGCCCAGUGACACUUAGUUAAACGGCCGCGGUAUUCUGACCGUGCAAAGGUAGCGCAAUCACUUGUCUUUUAAAUGAAGACCUGUAUGAAUGGCAAGACGAAGGCUUAACUGUCUCCCCCCUCCAGUCAAUGAAAUUGAUCUCCCCGUGCAGAAGCGGGGAUAAACACAUAAGACGAGAAGACCCUGUGGAGCUUAAGACAACAAGACCAACCUGUCAAAAAUAACAAAACAAAGCUAAACGAACUAAAUGGCCCUGUCCUUGUGUCUUCGGUUGGGGCGACCAUGGGGAACUAAAAAACCCCCACGUGGAACAAGAGCACUCUCACAAACCAGAGGGACACCUCUAAUUAACAGAACUUCUGACCUAAAAUGACCCGGCUUAAGCCGAUCAACGAACCAAGUUACCCCAGGGAUAACAGCGCAAUCCCCUUCCAGAGCCCAUAUCGACAAGGGGGUUUACGACCUCGAUGUUGGAUCAGGACAUCCUAGUGGUGCAG